rnacentral:tRNA from 1 species
GCAGUCGUGGCCGAGUGGUUAAGGCGAUAGACUAGAAAUCCAUUGGGGUCUCCCCGCACACGUUCGAAUCCUGUCGGCUGCG